GAUGAAGCUGGAGCUUGCUCUGGUGGAUUAGUGGCGAACGGGUGAGUAACACGUGAGUAACCUGCCCUGGACUCUGGGAUAACCCCGAGAAAUCGGAGCUAAUACCGGAUAGGACCCUGGAAGGCAUCUUUUGGGGUGGAAAGUUUUUUCGGUCUGGGAUGGACUCGCGGCCUAUCAGCUUGUUGGUGAGGUAAUGGCUCACCAAGGCGUCGACGGGUAGCCGGCCUGAGAGGGUGACCGGCCACACUGGGACUGAGACACGGCCCAGACUCCUACGGGAGGCAGCAGUGGGGAAUAUUGCACAAUGGGCGCAAGCCUGAUGCAGCAACGCCGCGUGCGGGAUGACGGCCUUCGGGUUGUAAACCGCUUUUAGUAAGGAAGAAGCCCCUUGGGGUGACGGUACUUGCAGAAAAAGGACCGGCUAACUACGUGCCAGCAGCCGCGGUAAUACGUAGGGUCCGAGCGUUGUCCGGAAUUAUUGGGCGUAAAGAGCUCGUAGGCGGUUUGUCGCGUCUGCUGUGAAAACUAGAGGCUCAACCUCUAGCCUGCAGUGGGUACGGGCAGACUUGAGUGGUGUAGGGGAGACUGGAAUUCCUGGUGUAGCGGUGGAAUGCGCAGAUAUCAGGAGGAACACCGAUGGCGAAGGCAGGUCUCUGGGCACUUACUGACGCUGAGGAGCGAAAGCGUGGGGAGCGAACAGGAUUAGAUACCCUGGUAGUCCACGCCGUAAACGUUGGGCGCUAGAUGUGGGGACCUUUCCACGGUUUCCGUGUCGUAGCUAACGCAUUAAGCGCCCCGCCUGGGGAGUACGG
rnacentral:rRNA from 1 species